AUUGAACGCUGGCGGCAGGCCUAACACAUGCAAGUCGAGCGAGCGGCGGACGGGUGAGUAAUGUCUGGGAAACUGCCUGAUGGAGGGGGAUAACUACUGGAAACGGUAGCUAAUACCGCAUAACAUCAGAUGUGCCCAGAUGGGAUUAGCUAGUAGGUGGGGUAAUGGCUCACCUAGGCGACGAGCCCUAGCUGGUCUGAGAGGAUGACCAGCCACACGUGGACUGAGACACGGUCCAACCUCCUAUGGGAGGCAGCCGUGGGGAAUAUUGCACAAUGGGCGCAAGCCUGAUGCAGCCAGGCCGCUUGUAUGAAGAAGGCCUUCGGGUUGUAAAGUACUUUCAGCGGGGAGGCGUUACCCGUAGAAGAAGCACCGGCUAACUCCGUGCCAGCAGCCGCGGUAAUAC
rnacentral:rRNA from 1 species